rnacentral:rRNA from 1 species
AUUGAACGCUGGCGUCAGGCCUAACACAUGCAAGUCGAGCGGAUGAAGGGAGCUUGCUCCUGGAUUCAGCGGCGGACGGGUGAGUAAUGCCUAGGAAUCUGCCUGGUAGUGGGGGAUAACGUCCGGAAACGGGCGCUAAUACCGCAUACGUCCUGAGGGAGAAAGUGGGGGAUCUUCGGACCUCACGCUAUCAGAUGAGCCUAGGUCGGAUUAGCUAGUUGGUGGGGUAAAGGCCUACCAAGGCGACGAUCCGUAACUGGUCUGAGAGGAUGAUCAGUCACACUGGAACUGAGACACGGUCCAGACUCCUACGGGAGGCAGCAGUGGGGAAUAUUGGACAAUGGGCGAAAGCCUGAUCCAGCCAUGCCGCGUGUGUGAAGAAGGUCUUCGGAUUGUAAAGCACUUUAAGUUGGGAGGAAGGGCAGUAAGUUAAUACCUUGCUGUUUUGACGUUACCAUCAGAAUAAGCACCGGCUAACUUCGUG